AAUGACGUGUACCUGAAGAAUAAGCAUCGGCUAACUCCGUGCCAGCAGCCGCGGUAAGACGGAGGAUGCAAGUGUUAUCCGGAAUCACUGGGCGUAAAGCGUCUGUAGGUGGUCCAAUAAGUCAACUGUUAAAUCUUGAGGCUCAACNUCAAAAUCGCAGUCGAAACUAUUAGACUAGAGUAUAGUAGGGGUAAAGGGAAUUUCCAGUGGAGCGGUGAAAUGCGUAGAGAUUGGAAAGAACACCGAUGGCGAAGGCACUUUACUGGGCUAUUACUAACACUCAGAGACGAAAGCUA
rnacentral:rRNA from 1 species